UACACUCGCACGCGUUUCGGUGCUCGCGCGUGCGUUCCUGCACGCGCAGUUAAACGGGAAACAGGGAGUGCGGCUGCCCCGCAGUCGAGCCAACCUGUGCUGCCCCCGCAACGGUAAGCGAACGCAUCGCUCCGCGAUGCAGCGCCGCUUCGCCGCACGCCACGCGCGUGCGGACGACGCCACUGGAUGCCUCGCGUAUCCGGGAAGGCGAAGCGGCGUGUUCGUCAGCCCGGAUACCGGCCGAGACGAGGGGUACAGC
rnacentral:ncRNA from 2 species